rnacentral:miRNA from 1 species
UUAUACCUCAUCGAUCGGAAGGGAUUCCUUCCGGUCAAUGAGGUAUAACAUCCUCAUUGACGGAAGGAAUCCCUUCCAAUCAAUGAGGUAUAA